GGAGUUUACUCCUUUAGAAUCGAUUUACAUAUAUAGGCCCGGGGUAUGAAAAUUAUGGGGACCAAAAUCGUACUAGCAUGUCACACGAAAUGCGUUAUGCGCCUGAUUGGCUCCUGAUUGCGUGAUGCGUGCGCGCGCCAAUCAAAAUCGUACUAGCAUGUCACACGAAAUGCGUUAUGCGCCUGAUUGGCUCCUGAUUGCGUGAUGCGUGCGCGCGCCAAUCAGGAGCCAACGCGCGGCCGCGUUAUCGCAGGUGACGCCGGGCUGCUGCGCCGGCAGUCCGCCACAAAGCCUCGUACUGAUCGCGCGUUUCUCUCAUUAUUGUAUUUUCAUAUAUUUGUUAGUCGUUUGUUUUGUGUCUCGUUAAUUUGUUAAUAAUCUGUAGUGUAUCGUGUUGUCGUAAUAUAGAACUAUUUCUCGUAUUGUUUCGUUUAAUUUUUUAUAUCCAGUAAACUCCAGUCGUGCGUCGGA